rnacentral:rRNA from 1 species
GUGACGAGCGGCGGACGGGUGAGUAAUGUCUGGGAAACUGCCUGAUGGAGGGGGAUAACUACUGGAAACGGUAGCUAAUACCGCAUAACGUCGCAAGACCAAAGAGGGGGACCUUCGGGCCUCUUGCCAUCAGAUGUGCCCAGAUGGGAUUAGCUAGUAGGUGGGGUAACGGCUCACCUAGGCGACGAUCCCUAGCUGGUCUGAGAGGAUGACCAGCCACACUGGAACUGAGACACGGUCCAGACUCCUACGGGAGGCAGCAGUGGGGAAUAUUGCACAAUGGGCGCAAGCCUGAUGCAGCCAUGCCGCGUGUAUGAAGAAGGCCUUCGGGUUGUAAAGUACUUUCAGCGGGGAGGAAGGCGAUGAGGUUAAUAACCUCGUCGAUUGACGUUACCCGCAGAAGAAGCACCGGCUAACUCCGUGCCAGCAGCCGCGGUAAUACGGAGGGUGCAAGCGUUAAUCGGAAUUACUGGGCGUAAAGCGCACGCAGGCGGUCUGUCAAGUCGGAUGUGAAAUCCCCGGGCUCAACCUGGGAACUGCAUUCGAAACUGGCAGGCUAGAGUCUUGUAGAGGGGGGUAGAAUUCCAGGUGUAGCGGUGAAAUGCGUAGAGAUCUGGAGGAAUACCGGUGGC